UGGGGGAUAUUGCACAAUGGGCGAAAGCCUGAUGCAGCGACGCCGCGUGGGGGAUGAAGGCCUUCGGGUUGUAAACUUCUUUUGCUCUGAACAAGGCAUGCCUUUGGGGUGUGUUGAGUGUAGGGGUUGAUUAGCGCCGGCUAACUACGUGCCAGCAGCCGCGGUAAUACGUAGGGCGCGAGCGUUGUCCGGAAUUAUUGGGCGUAAAGGGCUUGUAGGUGGCUGGUUGCGUCUGUCGUGAAAGCUCAUGGCUUAACUGUGGGUUUGCGGUGGGUACGGGCUGGCUUGAGUGCAGUAGGAGAGGCUGGAAUUCCUGGUGUAGCGGUGGAAUGCGCAGAUAUCAGGAGGAAUACCGGUGGCGAAGGCGGGUCUCUGGGCUGUUACUGACGCUGAGGAGCGAAAGCGUGGGGAGCGAACAGG
rnacentral:rRNA from 1 species